rnacentral:misc_RNA from 1 species
CGACAAACACGUACAAGACGUCUGACUUGUGUGCACUCAUUAAUUGCUGAUCAUCCAUUUGUUUCUCUUUCUAAACAUUCUUAUUUUUCUUCUUGUAUGGAUCAAUUUAUUAAUUUUCUUAAGAAAUUGUUGGCGUGCUGAUACAUUAUUGGGAAUCCUCUCAUUGCGUAGAAAAUAGUAAUUUGUUAAAGGUUUUAGCGGAUAAAGUCUUUCCAGUUCAAUUCAGAAAGACAUUCCGUUGUAAAUAAACCAUUGAAACUGUU